AACGCGAAGAACCUUACCAGCCCUUGACAUGGGACGUUUGGCCACGAGAGAUCGGGGCCUUCAGUUCGGCUGGCGUCCACACAGGUGCUGCAUGGCUGUCGUCAGCUCGUGUCGUGAGAUGUUGGGUUAAGUCCCGCAACGAGCGCAACCCUCACCUUCAGUUGCCAUCAGGUUAAGCUGGGCACUCUGAAGGAACUGCCGGUGACAAGCCGGAGGAAGGCGGGGAUGACGUCAAGUCCUCAUGGCCUUUAUGGGCUGGGCAACACACGUGCUACAAUGGCGGUGACAGAGGGAUGCGAAGGGGCGACCCUUGGCCAAUCUCUAAAAGCCGUCUCAGUUCGGAUUGUUCUCUGCAACUCGAGAGCAUGAAGCUGGAAUCGCUAGUAAUCGCGGAUCAGCACGCCGCGGUGAAUACGUUCCCGGGCCUUGUACACACCGCUAGUC
rnacentral:rRNA from 1 species